GAGACCCACGCCCACAGUUGCCAGCGUACUCUCUGGAGUGACGGGUACACUGUGGGGACCGCCGCUGCUAAAGCGGAGGAAGGAAUGGGCAACGGUAGGUCAGUAUGCCCCGAAUAUCCCGGGCUACACGCGAGCUACAAUGGCUGGUACAAUGGGUAUCUACCCCGAAAGGGGAUGGAAAUCUCCUAAAGCCAAUCUUAGUUCGGAUUGAGGGCUGCAACUCGCCCUCAUGAAGCUGGAAUCCGUAGUAAUCGCGUUUCAAUAGAACGCGGUGAAUAC
rnacentral:rRNA from 1 species